rnacentral:rRNA from 1 species
AUGUCGUCGCAUCCAGGCGACCUGCAGCUCAUGGACGGCCCAGUGCUCAUCCAGCACGGCGACAAGGACGACCUGCUUAUCGACGUCCCGGAGCCCAUCCAGCAGGACGACGACAAGGACCACCUGCUGCUGGCCCGGACCAAGAGGUGGAUAAAGGAGAUGCGGGUGGGGCUGAUGCUGCUGGCGACCAUCCUGGCGUCGCUGGCCUACCUGUCCGUCCCGUACCCCCCGGGCGGGUUGUUCUGGAGAGAGGACAAAGCCGGGCCAUACCCAUACGGGCACGACGCCGGCGACCCGGUGCUGCCCGGCCAUCCCAUUUUCAAGUCGCUUAGCACCGUGGCCUUCCUGACCUCACUGCUGCUGGUCUCCAGCGAGUGCUUCUACCGAACGUGGGACAGGGUGGCAGGGCUGCUGCUCCUCGCUCUCCUCGACCUCGCCUGCCUUGUUGGCGCCUACGUUGUCGGCGCCAGUCCGAAUGGCUGGGGCUGGUUCAUCAUCGUCGUAUUCCCCUGCACCGUCGUCGCCUGCAGUUUCCUCUUCUUCUCCGUCCCCUUCAUCACGGGUAAUAUGGAUGCUACUGCGGUUCCUGCGUCGUCUCGCCAGGCUCUGGUGGUGACCAGCAUGGAGAGAGCGGCAAGGAGCGGGCGCUGUGGGUCAUCUUCCGGCCAUUCCUCGCAGAUCAAGUCGUAG